rnacentral:rRNA from 1 species
GAUGCAACGCGAAGAACCUUACCAAGGCUUGACAUGUUCUCGAUCGCCGUAGAGAUACGGUUUCCCCUUUGGGGCGGGUUCACAGGUGGUGCAUGGUAUGUCGUCAGCUCGUGUCGUGAGAUGUGGGUUAAGUCCCGCAACGAGCGCAACCCUCGUUCCAUGUUGCCAGCACGUAAUGGUGGGGACUCAUGGGAGACUGCCGGGGUCAACUCGGAGGAAGGUGAGGACGACGUCAAAUCAUCAUGCCCCUUAUGUCUUGGGCUUCACGCAUGCUACAAUGGCCGGUACAAUGGGUUGCGAUACUGUGAGGUGGAGCUAAUCCCAAAAAGCCGGUCUCAGUUCGGAUUGGGGUCUGCAACUCGACCCCAUGAAGUCGGAGUCGCUAGUAAUCGCAGAUCAGCAACGCUGCGGUGAAUACGUUCCCGGGCCUUGUACACACCGCCCGUCAAGUCAUGAAAGUUGGUAACACCAGAAGGCGGAGGCCGAA